GACGAACGCUGGCGGCGUGCUUAACACAUGCAAGUCGAACGAAGAGCGAUGGAAGCUUGCUUCUAUCAAUCUUAGUGGCGAACGGGUGAGUAACGCGUAAUCAACCUGCCCUUCAGAGGGGGACAACAGUUGGAAACGACUGCUAAUACCGCAUACGAUCUAACCUCGGCAUCGAGGAUAGAUGAAAGGUGGCCUCUACAUGUAAGCUAUCACUGAAGGAGGGGAUUGCGUCUGAUUAGCUAGUUGGAGGGGUAACGGCCCACCAAGGCGAUGAUCAGUAGCCGGUCUGAGAGGAUGAACGGCCACAUUGGGACUGAGACACGGCCCAGACUCCUACGAGAGGCAGCAGUGGGGAAUCUUCCGCAAUGGACGAAAGUCUGACGGAGCAACGCCGCGUGAGUGAUGACGGCCUUCGGGUUGUAAAGCUCUGUUAAUCGGGACGAAAGGCCUUCUUGCGAAUAGUUAGAAGGAUUGACGGUACCGGAAUAGAAAGCCACGGCUAACUACGU
rnacentral:rRNA from 1 species